AUGCACGCUGGCGGCGUGCCUAAUACAUGCAAGUCGAGCGAACAGACGAGGAGCUUGCUCCUCUGACGUUAGCGGCGGACGGGUGAGUAACACGUGGAUAACCUACCUAUAAGACUGGGAUAACUUCGGGAAACCGGAGCUAAUACCGGAUAAUAUAUUGAACCGCAUGGUUCAAUAGUGAAAGACGGUUUUGCUGUCACUUAUAGAUGGAUCCGCGCCGCAUUAGCUAGUUGGUAAGGUAACGGCUUACCAAGGCAACGAUGCGUAGCCGACCUGAGAGGGUGAUCGGCCACACUGGAACUGAGACACGGUCCAGACUCCUACGGGAGGCAGCAGUAGGGAAUCUUCCGCAAUGGGCGAAAGCCUGACGGAGCAACGCCGCGUGAGUGAUGAAGAUCUUCGGAUCGUAAAACUCUGUUAUUAGGGAAGAACAAAUGUGUAAGUAACUAUGCACGUCUUGACGGUACCUAAUCAGAAAGCCACGGCUAACUACGUG
rnacentral:rRNA from 1 species